AGUGAACGCUGGCGGUAGGCCUAACACAUGCAAGUCGAACGGCAGCACAGUAAGAGCUUGCUCUUACGGGUGGCGAGUGGCGGACGGGUGAGGAAUACAUCGGAAUCUACUUUUUCGGGGGGGAUAACGUAGGGAAACUUACGCUAAUACCGCAUACGACCUACGGGUGAAAGAAGGGGAUCUUCGGCCCUUGCGCGAUUGAAGGAGCCGAUGUCGGAUUAGCUAGUUGGCGGGGUAAAGGCCCACCAAGGCGACGAUCCGUAGCUGGUCUGAGAGGAUGAUCAGCCACACUGGAACUGAGACACGGUCCAGACUCCUACGGGAGGCAGCAGUGGGGAAUAUUGGACAAUGGGCGCAAGCCUGAUCCAGCCAUACCGCGUGGGUGAAGAAGGCCUUCGGGUUGUAAAGCCCUUUUGUUGGGAAAGAAAAGCAGCAGGUUAAUACCCCGCUGUUCUGACGGUACCCAAAGAAUAAGCACCGGCUAACUUCGUG
rnacentral:rRNA from 1 species